rnacentral:tRNA from 1 species
GCCGUGGUAGCUCAGCCUGGUUAGAGCACCAGACUCAUAAUCUGGGGGUCGGCGGUUCAAAUCUGCCCCACGGCA